UUAAUACAUGCAUUAAUUUUUAAUGAUAAAGCAUUCACAUUAAUGUUACUGGUUUUUACAGUGUGUAUAAAUAUUUUUUUGAAAUUUUAAUAUGAAAUGUAAAAUACUAUAGCAGACUAGUUAUUAGGGGCAGUUUUCUUUUCAAUGAACUAUGUAUGUAACAACUUCGACACAUGAAUUUAAUCAAAUAGUGAUUAAGUAGUCUUUGGUGUGAUCUCGUGUUGCUACUUUGGCUGAAUGUUAAUCCACAUUUAUAAGGCUUGAUACCAGUGUAACAAUUCAUGUUUUUUUUAAGAUGAUGUUUUUUAGUGAAAGAUUUUUUACACUCUACACACACAUACGGUUUAAUUCCUGAAUGAAGUCGCGUAUGUAAUGUCGUAUUGGACCUAUCUGCAAACGAUUUGUGACAAAUGACACAAGAAAACGGGUUUUCACCAGUAUGUAUUCGCAAAUGUUGUUUGAGUAGCAUUUUUCUGGAAAAUGAUAUGUUCCAGUGGCUACAACAAUGAGGUUUUUCACCAGUAUGGAUACGCAUGUGUAUAUUUUUUGGUGAAUUUUCAUGUGUGAACUUAAAUAACCACGAUCAUUAAACUGCUUAUCGCAUUCAGGACAAAUUCCAGAAAAUGUUGGUACAUUCAUAUACAGAUUUGUGGUAUUUAUAAUUCCUCAACUGACUGAUUGUUUUCUGUACAAAUAACAGACAAAAGGCUUUUCGACUUUGUGUGAUCUCUCAUGUAUCUGUAAAUUUACUAUUAGUAUUAAACAAAAUCUCUAAAUUA